GUGUCAGCAGCCGCGGUAAUACGGAGGGUGCAAGCGUUAAUCGGAAUUACUGGGCGUAAAGGGCGCGUAGGUGGUACUUUAAGUUGGGUGUGAAAUCCCCGGGCUCAACCUGGGAAUUGCAUCCAAAACUGGAGUGCUAGAGUGUGGUAGAGGGUAGCGGAAUUUCUGGUGUAGCGGUGAAAUGCGUAGAUAUCAGAAGGAACAUCAAUGGCGAAGGCAGCUACCUGGGCCAACACUGACGCUGAGGCGCGAAAGCAUGGGGAGCAAACAGGAUUAGAUACCCCAGUAGUCC
rnacentral:rRNA from 1 species